UACUGAGGGAAAAAAAUACAUUAUGCUUACUUUAACUGUGUGAUACUUUGAAAGGGAAAGACUUCUGUGAACACAACUCAUCAGUGCAGCACAGCCAGACAGUAACAGCCACUACAAGAUCCUCCUUGUUCUACAUUUUGUGUCACACUAGACCGUGAGAUAUAUAAAUAUAUAAUAUGGGGAAUUCAAGCACUCACGUGGCCAACGCGACCGGGAAGCCUCUUCGGGUUUACUAUGAAGUGGAGAGCAUGAAACUGGAGGACAUAGUGGUGAAUGUCAGCGGAUCAUCAGGCGGGACACUGGGUCCUGCCCCGACAGCGACCGCGAACGUCUCCAGCACCACGAAUAUGGUCUUCAAACCGGACUCCCGGAUACGAUACAUACGCCUGCCGGUCGACGAGACCUGUAAAUUCUCUGGAGAAGGCAAGCUUUACGCCUCUGUCUUUGUGGAAGACAAACAAAAGCGUGCGUCCUGCAAUAAAAUCAUCUGUAAGAAUUACAAAAUCCCCAGGAAUAGGUCUUUUAUUGUGACGGCCAACCAUAACAUCAAGUUCACCAAGAAGAAAAGUGAAGACCGCUGGAUCGAUGAAGAUGGCAUCAACCAUAAACCCCAAACAGCUUCCAAUAUUGUAGAAACUGUUGGGUGCUGUUUCAAAUAAAUACUAAAUACUUAAGGCUUGAAGUUUUCAGUGUUUGUCAUUCUUCACCUCCCUUUAAACCUUAAUCAAUAGUUGUUAAGCCUUAACUGCAUAUUAGAUAACAUUGUUUAAAUUAACUAACUAAAACAGUGGAAGUUAAAAAGCUGAAUUCGGCGGUGACUAGACUGAAGCCAGAACGAAAUGCAGAUUCGGAAUCAGGUGAGAACAAUUCAUGUUGUUCAACUCAAUUAAGAUAUAUAUGAGAGUAAAAAAAACACUCCUUGCUUUGGUAAUAAGAGUUUGAUUAUAAAGCGUGCUGGCUCAAAAUAUGUUUGCUUACGAUUGUAAGUCGCCCUGGAUAAGGGCGUCUGCUAAGAAAUAAAAAAUAAAAAAUAAAAAAAAAAUAAUAAUAAUGUUUAAAAAGACUCUCGGGGUGAUCAAAAAUAAAACUCCAAAACUUCAAGCCAUAAAAAUACUCACAGUUCACUGAACAUUGGAACGUUUUUUUUUCCUUAUAUAGCAGACACGAUCCUGCUGCUACGAUAUUUUUCUCUGCGCUGCUUCAUAAACCACACGAGUGCUAACGAGUGUUGAUUCAGUCUCUGUUUAUUGUGCCUGUUUAACAGAAAAUAAAAAGAAUACCAGCACAUGCAGAUCA